GAUGGGCAUGCGUUGUAUUAGUUAGUUGGUGGGGUAACGGCUCACCAAGACGACGAUACAUAGGGGGACUGAGAGGUUAACCCCCCACAUUGGUACUGAGACACGGACCAAACUCCUACGGGAGGCAGCAGUGAGGAAUAUUGGUCAAUGGACGCAGGCCUGAACCAGCCAAGUCGCGUGAGGGAAGACUGCCCUAUGGGUUGUAAACCUCUUUUAUAAGGGAAGAAUAAUGACUACGUGUAGUCAGAUGCCCGUACCUUAUGAAUAAGCAUCGGCUAACUCCGUGCCAGCAGCCGCGGUAAUACGGAGGAUGCGAGCGUUAUCCGGAUUUAUUGGGUUUAAAGGGUGCGUAGGCGGUAUUUUAAGUUAGUGGUAAAACGUCGGGGCUUCACCUUGAUUGGCCAUUAAAACUGGAGUACUAGAGUACAGACGAGGUAGGCGGAAUAAGUUAAGUAGCGGUGAAAUGCUUAGAUAUAACUUAGAACCCCGAUAGCGAAGGCAGCUUACCAGACUGUUACUGACGCUGAAGCACGAGAGCGUGGGUAGCGAAC
rnacentral:rRNA from 1 species